rnacentral:lncRNA from 1 species
UACGACUCCCUCUGUGACAGAACCUCUGUAACGCACUAAGCCUUUCAUCAUGAAGACCGCCGUCGCUCUCGCCUGCCUGCUGGUGGCCGUCGCUGCCAGGCCCCAGUUGGGAUUGGGUGUGGGCACUGGUCUUGGAACUGUCGGAACCCUUGGAACCAGCCGUCUCACCACGGGCGGUUUGGGCACAGGCCUCGGAUUCGGCACAGGCCUCGGCACAGGCCUCGGUGUUGGCACAGGCCUUGGACUCGGCACAGGCCUCGGACUCGGCACAGGUCUCGGACUCGGCACAGGACUCGGUGUCGGUGGCACUCGGGUCACCACUAGCCAGACGACUUUCGGCAACACUUUCGGCCGCUAAUCCACAGAUUCUGAGUGCAUGCUUGAAAUAUACCCUUACACCUUUUCGGAACCAUGCGACGUCAGCUCGCUGAUUCUCAGUGCAGACAAAAAUGUGCCUUUUAUCUUUUGGAACCAUGCGAUGUCAGUCUCGUGGAAGUUUUUCCUUGAAGGAAACAGUGUGACUGUAUAUCGUUUGCUCAUUGCUGUGCAUUACUUGUUGUCAUUCCAUAAUAAAUGUGCAAUUU